AUGUUUUAUGUGAUGAACUCCAUGCCCCUGCACUUCUUGUUUCAGUUGUUCAUUGCAACUUUGUGCAGCAGCAGCAGCUGCUGCUCUUGUGAGAGUGCAAUACAAGGUGUAGUGGAGGUUCAUGAUUCUGCAUCUAUAGGUUUGGUCAUGGCGUCAGCUGCCUAUCUUGACGACAUUGAUGCUGAAGUUAUCGACCCUCCAAAGAUUGAGAUGUUAGAUGUCACAGAACUCGUCGGUGAUCUUAUCGAGCACUCACCGAAACCAAAUGUCAUAGUUUCUAGCAAUGUGCGUGAGCUAUUGGAAUGCCCUGUGUGUUUGGUCGCCAUGUAUCCUCCAAUUCAUCAGUGCUCCAAUGGUCAUACCAUUUGUUCUGGAUGCAAGCCAAGGGUUCAUAAUCGCUGUCCAACUUGCAGGAGUGAAUUGGGUAACAUAAGAUGCCUUGCUCUAGAGAAGGUUGCUGCCUCUCUAGAGGUUCCAUGCAAGUUCCAGAACUUUGGAUGCGUGGGAAUAUAUCCUUAUUAUUGCAAGCUGAAGCAUGAAUCACAGUGCCAAUACAGACCCUACACUUGCCCAUAUGCGGGAUCUGAAUGCACUGUCACUGGUGACAUUCCGUAUCUAGUGAAUCACUUGAAGGAUGAUCAUAAGGUUGACAUGCACAGUGGAAGCACCUUUAAUCAUCGCUAUGUCAAAUCAAAUCCUCAUGAAGUUGAGAAUGCUACAUGGAUGCUUACGGUUUUCAGCUGCUUUGGGCAGUACUUCUGCCUGCACUUCGAGGCGUUCCAGCUGGGCAUGGCGCCGGUCUACAUCGCCUUCCUGAGGUUCAUGGGAGACGACGCCGAGGCCAAGAACUAUACCUACAGCCUGGAGGUCGGAGGCAUCAACCGUAAGAUGACCUGGCAGGGCAUUCCUCGGAGCAUCAGGGAUAGCCACAGGAAAGUGCGGGACAGCUACGACGGGCUCAUCAUCCAGCGCAACAUGGCCCUGUGCUUCUCCGGCGGCGACAGGAAGGAGCUCAAGCUGCGGGUCACCGGGAGGAUUUGGAAGGAGCAGUGA
rnacentral:rRNA from 1 species